AUCGAACGCUGGCGGCAUGCCUAAUACAUGCAAGUCGAACGAGUGGCGGACGGGUGGGUAAUGUAUGAGCACCUGCCUGAUGGACCGGGAUGACUACUGUAAAAGGUAGCUACUACCGCAUACCAUCAUUUCUGCCCAGAUUGGAUUAGCUUGUGGGUGGGGUCACGGCUCACCAAGGCGACGAUGCCUAGCUGGUCUGAGAGGAUGACCGGCCACACUGGAACUGAGACACGGUCCAGACUCCUACGGGAGGCAGAAGUGGGGAAUAUUGGACAAUGGGCGAAAGCCUGAUGCAGCCAUGCCGCGUGUAUGAAGAAGGGCUUCGGGUUGUAAAGUACUUUCGGCAGGGAGGCGGUACCUGAAGAAAAAGCACCGGCUAACUACGUGCCAGCAGCCGCGGUAAUAC
rnacentral:rRNA from 1 species